rnacentral:rRNA from 1 species
UACGUAGGGGGCAAGCGUUGUCCGGAUUUAUUGGGCGUAAAGAGCGUGUAGGCGGCCUGGAAGGUCCGUUGUGAAAACUCGAGGCUCAACCUCGAGACGUCGAUGGAAACCCGCAGGCUAGAGUCCGGAAGAGGAGAGUGGAAUUCCUGGUGUAGCGGUGAAAUGCGCAGAUAUCAGGAAGAACACCUAUGGCGAAGGCAGCUCUCUGGGACGGUACUGACGCUGAGACGCGAAAGCGUGGGGAGCGAACAGG